rnacentral:rRNA from 1 species
AGAGUUUGAUCCUGGCUCAGGAUGAACGCUAGCUACAGGCUUAACACAUGCAAGUCGAGGGGAAACGAUAUUGGAAGCUUGCUUCCGAUAGGCGUCGACCGGCGCGCGGGUGAGUAACGCGUAUCCAACCUGCCCACCACUUGGGGAUAACCUUGCGAAAGUAAGACUAAUACCCAAUGAUAUCUCUAGAAGACAUCUGAAAGAGAUUAAAGAUUUAUCGGUGAUGGAUGGGGAUGCGUCUGAUUAGCUUGUUGGCGGGGUAACGGCCCACCAAGGCGACGAUCGAGUAGGGGUUCUGAGAGGAAGGUCCCCCANAUUGGAACUGAGACACGGUCCAAACUCCUACGGGAGCA